rnacentral:rRNA from 13 species
GAGUGGCGAACGGGUGAGUAACACGUGAGUAACCUGCCCACAACUUUGGGAUAACGCUAGGAAACUGGUGCUAAUACUGGAUAUGUGCUCCUGCUGCAUGGUGGGGGUUGGAAAGCUCCGGCGGUUGUGGAUGGACUCGCGGCCUAUCAGCUUGUUGGUGAGGUAAUGGCUCACCAAGGCGACGAUCCGUAGCUGGUCUUAGAGGAUGAUCAGCCACACCGGGACUGAGACACGGCCCGGACUCCUACGGGAGGCAGCAGUGGGGAAUAUUGCACAAUGGGCGGAAGCCUGAUGCAGCGACGCCGCGU